rnacentral:tRNA from 1 species
UAAGGGUUAUAGCCCCUUCAAAUCCU